rnacentral:lncRNA from 1 species
UUGUUUAACUAAUAUAUGACUAUUGACCAGUAGUAUGCUACUGUUGUCUUUAUUUAGGUCAGGAACGUGAAUGCUUUUCCCCUCCUUAACUCGUUUAUACUUCAUUCGAGACUUUGCCGUUAGUAACAAAUCUAUAUAAGUAGAAAUAAGAAGAUGUGGUAUAAUUGCAAUGAGACAACUCUUCGUCUAAUUCACAAUGUGUAAAAAGUAAACAAGUAUAGGUCAAAGGACUUAAACACAGAGGCAUGGAUCACACCGAACAACAAGCUAUAUAUAAAGGGCCACAUUCUCUAUUUGAUUGACAUUUUCGAUACUUGGUGAUAUACAGGUUUCCUUAACACGAAUUUUAAUGAUAUAUAAUAGUUUCGAUCAUUUCAUGAACAUUGCAACAGAAAUAAAAACCAAUUUUUAUCAGACUAGGUGUUUGUUCUGAACUCGUUUCUUUUGCUUUCUUACACACAAAUGGUUUGAAUAUUAGACUUUCAAGAUUGUUACCGAUGAAAAAUAAGUCCCCAAAAAUACUGAACUCCGAGGAAAAUUCAAAAAGGAAAGUCCCUAAUCAAAUGGCAAAAUCAAAUGAUAAAACACAUCAAACGAACGGACAUGUACCGGGAGUACCCUGUCAUAAUCCUGACUUGGUAUGUAGAAAAUGGUAGAUUUAACAUGGUUUUAUAGCGCUUCAUCUCUCACUUCUACGACAGGCGCAUCAUUUUCCAUUAUAUUGACAAUGAUGCGUGGACAAAAUAUCACAAAUAGGGUUACAAAUACAACACGGAUCACACCACAACCGAGGGGUGAUUUGAAAAUUAUUCUUAGGCUGAACACUUCGUGCACACUGAACCAUGUCAUAUGUUACAUUUUUCUAUUUGAAGAAAAGACAUUCCGAC